rnacentral:rRNA from 1 species
GAUGAACGCUGGCGGCGUGCCUAAUACAUGCAAGUCGAGCGAACAGACGAGGAACUUUCCUCUCUUACGUUAGCGGCGCACGGGUGAGUAACACGUGGAUAACCUACCUAUAAGACUGGGAUAACUUCGGGAAACCGGUGCCAAAUCCGGCUAAUAUUUUGAACCGCAUGGUUCAAUAGUGAAAGACGGUUUUGCUGUCACUUAUACAUGGAUCCGCGCCGCAUUAGCUAGUUGGUAAGGUAACGGCUUACCAAGGCGACGAUGCGUAGCCGACCUGAGAGGGUGAUCGGCCACACUGGAACUGAGACACGGUCCAGACUCCUACGGGAGGCAGCAGUAGGGAAUCUUGCGCAAUGGGCGAAAGCUUGACGGAGCAACGCCGCGUGAAUGAUGAAGGUCUUCGGAUCGUAAAACUCUGUUAUUAGGGAAGAACAAAUGUGUAAGUAAAUAUGCGCGUAUUGACGGUACCUAAUCAGAAAGCCACGGCUAACUACGUG